GGAUGGCAGUGAUCAUAUGAAAGCCUUGGCUGACUUAAAAUCCAAAUUUCGUCGACUAGAAAAUGAAGAGGAAUCUGAAUCUCCAUUAUCAUCAAGUGUAAAGCCACAACGUCCCUUAUCAUCAAGUGUAAAGCCACAAUGUCCCAUGGUUCCAAAGAGGUUGCGACCAGAUGUCAAGGGUGCUGAAGACUACUACUAUGCGCCAAAACUCAUUUCUUUGGGUCCUUACCACCAUGGCAAGCCCCACCUCAAGGAUGGAGAAACGCUCAAGCUUAAAUUGGCAGAAGCCUACAUCCAAGAAUGUGAGCCAACAGUGGAUGAAAUUUACAACACAAUUAGCGAUAGCAUUAGUGAGCUGAGGGGCUGUUAUGAUGCGGAGUCGACAAAGAAAUAUAAGGAUGACGAAUUAACCAUCAUGAUGCUGGUGGACGGGUGUGCUCUACUCUGUUACAUUUUAUGCGUUUGCUUAGGUUAUGGCCAUGAAGAUUUCAAUAUCAGAUAUCAGGAUAUAAGCCUUCUGCACCAGGAUGCGUUGCUGCUGGAAAACCAACUUCCCUAUCAAUUACUCCUUGAGCUGAUGAAGAUGGUGGACCCAGGAUCAGCCAAUGAUUUUUGGACGGCCAUGUUCCAGGAAUUCUUCGGCAUCAGCGACGAGUCAAUAUUUCAGGAAUUUAUCGGUAUGAAGAAGAAGGAGUCAUUCCUGCAAAAAAUGAAGAAUUAUUGCCCCCGCCUAUUCCUCCCAAUCAACCAAAUUAUUGACCCCAAAUCGAAGCCGCAAAGUCCUAAUAACGAGUCAAAGCCUUGUCAUCAUCUCCUCGAUCUCUUCCGAAGAAAUUUCCUAGGCGAUGAACGUUCCGGCAGCCCAACGCACCCAGAAAAUGAAAAUUUGGAAGGUCCUUCGUCAUCGGAAACUGAAAUUGGCCGGAGGCUGGGUAGAGCAUCAGUUAGAGAUGUGAAGGAGGUUAUGGCAUCAUUUAGAAAUGUGAAGGAGCUGAUGGACGCUGGAAUCCGCAUCAAGCGCAGUCCUACACGUCACUUGAGGGACAUUUCUUUCCGUUCAAAUGGGAUCACCGCAUGCCUGAGAAUUCCUCCCAUCACCAUUGAUAACUCAACCAAGGCUAUGUUCUUGAACUUGAUAGCCUAUGAAAUGAGCUCAGACGUCGACCAUGACUUCAUCUCUUACCUUCGCUUCCUUGAUUCCCUCAUUGAUCAUGCUGAUGACGUUAAGGAGCUGCAGUCCAUCGGGAUACUCCAAAACAAUCUAGGAACCCACGACGAAGUAGCUCAAUUCUUCAACACCGUGUCCGCCAACUUGGAAUCCAACUUUCAUGCUUACAAAGACGUGAGAGUGAAAAUUCGGAAGCACCUUCAGAGUCACUAUAACAGCAAACUGACAAUGUGGAUGACACAAUGCCUGGACACCUAUUUCGGUAGCCCCUGGACUAUCAUAGCUUGGGUUGGUGCAGCUUUGGCCCUAUUCCUUACUUUCGUCCAGACUUACUUCUCAGUCUUCCCUCAUUGAUGCAUGCCUGCCCUCUUUUCAACUAUCACCGUCUCAAUUAAGGUAAUAUCCACUCCAAAUUUCCUUGUUCUUCUUGCUAUCUGCAUUUUACCUAGUCCAUGUAAAUUAAGCAAAGACUCAUUGGCUUCAUGCGCUUUUGACCUUACCUAUUUUGUGUUUUUGGUUUCAGCCUAUUUUCUACAUUGCUUUCCGUGCUUAAAUUAAGUAACGAAUGAAUAUGUAGUGUGACCUUAGUUUGGUGAUUUUGUGCUUUCGCAAGCAUGUGCUAUGCUUAUAUAUAUGCAUCAUCAGCAAUAUUAUGUUUGAUUUAAGUACGUAAAUAAAGAUAGAUAUAGGUGGAAUAUUUUUUUUUCUAUGUUUAUAUUCCUGUUAAUGUAUUAUAUAUAUGUUAGGUCUGGCAAUUUUUUAUCUCAUACCAUUUUUAAUUAAAUCAUUUUUAAACUAUAGUUACUAAGCCAAAAAUUAUAAUGCUCUAGAAAUAUAAUCAAUCUCAUUGUCGAAUUUUUCUAAACUAAUCUCAGAAUAAGCUCGAUAUCUCUAACAAUAUAUUAUUUAAGGCACAUAAUAUUCCAAAAAAAAUUCUGCAAAAGAAAAAGAAAUUUGUUGAGAAGUGGUUUAUUUUAGUUGAUCUCUUAUUAUAUUUAGGAAUAUGGACAAAAUGUUAUAUUUAGGAAUAUGAACAAAACAACAUUUUGUCCGAUAGAAAUUUACCCAUCAAUAUGAAUGGAUAGAAAUUUACCCAUCAACAUGAAUGGUAUGGAAAUUUGACUAAUGCUUGUAAGAUCGGAUUUGUAAAUAUUUGUGGGUGAGUUUCUUUUGACAACCGAUGGACAAAUUCAUGUCAUGUAAGACUUAUUUGACAACAUUCUAAAAUAAUGUUGCUAAAAAUAUUUAAGAAUAGUUCUGAAAAUAUGUUUUACCUGUUUUUAGGAAUAAAAUUCUAACUUAUUUUGAGAAUAUUCUUAAAAAAAAAAGAAAAAAAAAAAGAGAGAAUGUUGUUAAAACUUGUUAAGAAUAUUUUUAAAAAUAUGUUUUAUUUGUUUUUAGGAAUAAAAUUCCAUUUAAGAAGCCUAGUCCUUCGCAAAGGCAUGUGCCACCAUCUAUAAUGGAAGAAGUUCACACCUAUUUUUCAUUUUUUUUUUGUUCUUUUUUUAAAACACUUGCAUAGCUUCUGGAUUAAAGUUCUUAAAGAUUAUUUUCAAAAUUUGAUGUAAUAAUUUAAAAAAAAAUUACUAUAAAUAUAUAUAUAUAUAUAUAGAGUUACUAUUAUUUUUAAUUUUACAAAAUAAAAAACAAAAAAUGUACCUAAAGGAUACCUUAAUUUCAACUUAUUAACUAUAUGUAAAAUUAAAAGUAUUUUUCUCCUUUUCAACUUGUUACAUACUUCAGUGCUUGUAUAUUGCUUCCAUACCAUAUGAUAAGAUGUGGCUAAAAUUGAUCUUCAUGUCAAGAAUUGGAAGCCUUCAAUAUGUUGUAAUUGCUUAAAAGAUUUCGCUUUGAGUUAUGUUUCUUGUGGGGUGAUGGCAAAGAAAACCAACAAAUUAAUAGAAAAACUAUAAAUAUAAUUCAGAAUUAAGGAAAAAAGAAAUACAAUAUUGAAGGUGCAGUAGAAUAAAAAGGAGUGUGGGCAUGAAUGAUAUGUAAAAACUCACCCAAUAGAAUCCUUUAUGAAGUAAAUAUUUUCAUAUCAUACGAUCCAAUGUUAAUCCUUCAUAACCUAUGGAACUGUAGAACCUUGAGAGGAAAAAAGCCACUCACAAAUUAUGACACAAACAGAAACUAGGAACAGUGGAAGAAAAUUGAAAAACUGAUCUCCCUUUCCGAGUCCAGCAACAAAAUUAGUGUCCAACCUUAAAAUGGGCAUGUGUGGUAUUGACGAGAGAUGCUAAGAUGGAAAUCAUAACCAUAGUCAUGUUCUCUCUGUGUCUUUGUGUCUUUCUAACCCACUUUUUUUAAGAAAAUAAUAGACCAAGACUAUAAUUAUCAAUUAUGACUUUAUUGUUUAAUUUAUAUUCUUUAACAAUUUUUUUAUUUUUUUAAGAAUAAUUUGUUUUACUAUAAUGGUAGGUGAUGAAUUUAUUUUCUUAAUAAAAGGCCUCCCAAUAAGGCAAUAGUUUCAUGUUUUUUUUUUAUCCUCUGCUUUUGUUGCAACUCUUCUGCUUCCGACCUUUCAUUAACCUAAAUAUUAGAAGUUUCUAAUUCAGUCCAUUGCACUCCAGUUGUCUAAAUACGGAAGCUUCUUCCACGACCCAGUUGCACUUUGGAAAGUUAAGCUUAAGAUUUACGAAGUUUCUGAAAAUUACAGUUUAUUUAGUUUCUAAAAUCCAAUUAGCUAGAUAUUUUAUUUGAUUUCUUUUUAUAUUUAAGUAGUUGAGUUUUGGAAAGUUUUUAUAUUUUAUUAAUAGAAAAAAAAAAUUUAUAUUUUUUAUUAUUAGGAAUUUCUAUUUUGUUAAAUUGUAAGUAUCUAUCUCAAUAAGAGAUUAUUAAUAUUCGAAUGAAAGUGAUGAAAGAUAGUAAAUAUUUUAAUGCUCCUCAAUUAUAUUUUAAUGUUAUUUUUUUACAUGAGGGUUAAUUCAAUUUUAAUUUCAACAUGUAAUAUGUUAAAAAUAUUAUAAAAUAGAACUAUAAAGGAGUAUUUACUUAUUUUAUAAUAUUUUCAAUCUACAAUUUUCAAAAAUCAAUAUUUAAAAAAGGUAUUAAAACAUCCCUUCUCUUCAAUAUAAAAGCAUUAUUGUAACAUAUUGUGGACCCCGCAUUUUGCCCAAUGCGUUCCCACUCGAUGACAAAACUCGCUUUCUAUUUAUUUUGUGAAAAAUAUGAUUUUUUUCAAAAGACUUAGAGUCGCCACUUAUUUUUGUUUUAUUUUUAAAGGAAAAACAAAAUAAGAAAGAAAAACCCUAAAUGUGAUUCCUUAUUUGGAAAAAAUAGGUCUGUGAAAAAUCACGUCGGGUCCGAGGGUCAGGUUACUUAUUGGAAAAGUACGGUGGUGAGCCAUAACACCCCUCUAAGUCCAUAAAAACGGGUCUCUACUAAUAAAAUGAAGCAAACAUGACAAUUGGUAAGGAAAUCAAUGGAUACAAAAGUGAUCACAAAUUAAAAGUAAUCAUGAUAAUGAAUAAAUGAACGAAGUGAGAGCGAGAGUGUACCUUGGCAGCAGGUAAUAAAGCGUUAUUAUGAAACAAAGUUAGUGCACAAUAACAAAUACAAAAUAUAUCACAUGCAUGUCAAAUAUUAGAACAAAAAAAAAAAAAAUAUUCAUUAGGCAUAGCAAUUAACAAUCAGAAGAGAAAUCUCAUAUGUAGGGUCCCCCACCAAAGCCCAAUUUAUCUUGCAUGCAUUGGUCUCACAAAUUUUAUUAUUUCGAAAUUAUGAAAAAUUCAUUCUUACUUAUGAAAAAUCAAAAGAAACAGAAGAUUAUUUGAAAACCGGAGUGGAAUUAAAACUGUUCAAAAUUUGUUUGAAAAUUGGAGUCUCGAAAAUUAUUUGAAAAUUGGAGUCUUGGGAAUUAAAUUUAAGAAUUGGAAUUUUGGAAAUUAAAUUUGAAAGAAAUUGGAAUUUUUUAAAAUUAUUUAAGAAUUAGAGUUUUUAAAAUUAUAUUAAGGAAUUGGAACUUUAGAAAUUAAAUUUGAAAGAAAUUAGCAAAUUAUUUGAGAAUUAGAGUUAUGAAAAUUAAAUUAUGAAAAUUGGAAUCUUGGAAAUUAUUUGAAGAUGGAAAAAAUAAACAAAAUAAUAAUAGUAAUAAUAAAUAAAUAAAUAAAUAAAUGUGAAAAUUGGAAUUUCGGAAAUUGGAAAUUAAAUUCGGAAAUUGAAAAAUUGGAAUUUCAAAAAUUGAGAAUUAAAAUUGAAAAUCAGAAUUUUGAAGAAUUAUUUACAAAUGGAAUUUUAAAAAUAAAUUAAUUAAUUAAAUAAUGAUAAUAACGAAGAUAACAAUGAUUAAAUAAAUAAAUUUGAAAAUUAGAAUUUUGGAAAUUGGAAAUUAAAUUCGAAAAUUAGAAAAUUGGAAUUUAGGAAAUUCGGAAUUGAAUUUGGAAAUCGGAAUUUUGAAGAAUUAUUUAAAAAUAGAAUUUUAAAAAUAAAUUAAAUAAUGAUAAUAACGAAUAUGAUAAUGAUUAAAUAAAUAAAUAUGAAAAUUAGAAUUUUAGAAAUUGGAAAUUAAAUUCGGAAAAUUGUAAUUUAGGAAAUUGGAAAUUGAAUUUGGGAAUCGAAAUUUUGAAGAAUUAUUUAAAGAUGAAAUUUUAAAAAUAAAUAAAUUAAUUAAUUAAAUAAUGAUAAUAACGAAGAUAGCAAUGAUUAAAUAAAUAAAUUUGAAAAUUAGAAUUUUGGAAAUUGGAAAUUAAAUUCGGAAAUUGAAAAAUUGGAAUUUUGGAAAUUGGGAAUUGAAUUUGGAAAUCGGAAUUUUGAAGAAUUAUUUAAAGAUGAAAUUUUUGAAAACUUGAUUUAAAAGGAGAUGGAGUUUCAAAAAUUUAUUUGAAGGUGUCAUUUUAAAAAUUAAAUUUAGAAUUGUGGAAUUUUUGGAAGAUUAAAAUUAAAAUUUUGAAUUUGGGAAAAUUAAAUUUAAAGUUAGAGUUUUAGAAAAUUAUUUCAAGAAUUGAAUUUUGAAGAAUUAAAUUUAAAAUAUUGAAGUUUUGGAAAAUUGAACUUAAGAUCUGAAAUUUCGUAAACUAAAUUUAAAAAUCAAAUUUUACAAGAUUAUUUCGAAAAGGGUACUUAUAUAUAUAUAUAUAUAUAUAUAUUAAUAAAAUAAUAAAUAAAUAGAUAAAUAAAAAUAAAUAAAUAAAGCAAAUAAAAUGAAUGAAUAAAUGAAUAAAUUUGAAACUUUGGGAUUUUAGAAGAAUUAUUUGAUAACAGAAUUUAAAAAAAAAAUGAAAUUUUUAACAUGAAAAGUGGAAUUACGAAGAUGGCACGUGAAAGAAAAGAUAAAAAACUAAUAAUAAUUCACCAUGAGGCCACUGGACCCAUGCCACUAAUAAAAAAAAAACUCAUGCCUUUGACUUUUCAUUCACCAAUUGUUUAAACAAUUUCCUACUGUCAAUGAACCACCAAGAAGUGGAGUAAUGAAGCCCCACUUCUCCACGAAAAAAAAAAAAACACCAGUAUGUAUCUGACUAGUGAUGACAAACUGUGGUGGCGAACAAGGAUAGAAGACGAUGUAGAGUUUGGAAGGCCCCAAAUCACCACUUGGGAGACUUUGAAGAAGGAAUUGAAGGAUCAGUUCCUUCCCACCAACAUUGCUUGGGUGGCCAAAGAAGCGUUGAAAAGGGUCAAACACACCGGAUCUGUAAGGGACUACGUCAAGGAAUUCAGUUCCUUGAUGCUGGACAUAAAGAACAUGUCAGAUGAGGACAAGCUCUUCAAUUUCAUGUCUAGAUUGCAAGGGUGGGCUCAAACGGAACUUAGGAGGCAAGAGAUUCGUGAUCUCCCUGUUGCCAUGGUUGCAGCAGAUUGCCUGGUGGACUACAAGAUGGGUGGCGCCAUCUCCACCAUGUAGAGACCUAAGUCAGAAGGAGGUAAGAAGGCUAAGGUUGAGGGCAAGACUUCUAAGAAAUCUGGGUGGAAGAAACAGAACAAGAAGCCUGUUGUAGAGGGAAAACCAGUGGAAAAGACCAUAAAGUUUGUGCAGCAGACCACCCGGAUGGUAGGAUGUUUCAUCUGCAAUGGCCCUCAUCGAGCCAGAGACUGCCCCAAAAGAAAGAAACUCUCAGCCCUUGUGACUGUAGACGACAAGGGAGAGUCUGACUUAGAGACUCCUCUUAGAGUCAACCCACUGCAACUCCUGAACGUGAUUAAUGGUGAGACUCCAGUCCAUAAGUCCCUAAUGCAUGUCCAUGCAGUUGUAAAUGGUGUGCAGGUGAAGGCCUUGGUGGACAGUAGUGCCACGCACAACUUCGUGGCCACCAGAGAAGCAACCAGGUUGGGAUUGAAGUUGGAAGAGGAUACUAAUUAGAUCAAGGCAGUCAAUAGCAAAGCCCAGAAAAUCCAAGGGGUAGCAAAGAAUGUCCCCAUGCAAAUUAGUGACCGGAAGGGCACAUGCAACCUACUUUGUGUACCCUUGGACGACUUCAACUUGAUCAUCGGUGUAGAUUUCCUCUUGAGGGCUAAGGUGGCCUUGAUCCCACAUCUUGGUGGGCUGGUGGUGUUAGAAGAAAAGCAGUCUUAUUUCAUGAAGGCCUUGAGGGUGAAGGAUGGUGGCAAGGGUUAACAUGAGAUGCUGUCUACUAUCCAUUUGAAGAAGGGAUUGAAGAGGGGUCAGGAGACUUAUGUUACAACCUUGAUCGAGAUCAAGGAGAGAUAGUCUGUGGAAGUCCCUGAUUCAGUGGUCAAAAUCCUUAAGGAGUUCAGAGAUGUGAUGUCUGCAGAACUCCCCAAAGAAAUGCCACCUAGGCGGCCUAUUGACCACAAGAUUGAAUUGCUACCUGGAACAAAGGCCCCGGCUUAAGCUCCUUACAGGAUGCCUCCUGCGGAGUUGUUGGUGUUACGUAAGUAAUUGAAGGAACUGUUGGAUGCAGGCCUGAUCCAGCCCUCAAGGGCCCCAUAUGGUGCACCAAUGAUGUUCCAAAAGAAGCAUGAUGGCUCUCUCCGCAUGUGUGUAGAUUAUAGAGCUCUCAACAAGGUGACCAUCAAGAACAAGUACCCGAUCCCCUUGGCUGCCGAGCUGUUUGACAGAUUGUCAAAAGCCUCUUACUUCACCAAGUUGGACCUAAGAUCGACUACUGGCAAGUGCGAAUUGCAGUAAGAGAUGAGAAGAAUACCACCUGUGUAACUCGGUAUGGAUCAUACGAGUUUCUGGUAAUGCCAUUUNNNNNNNNNNNNNNNNNNNNNNNNNNNNNNNNNNNNNNNNNNNNNNNNNNNNNNNNNNNNNNNNNNNNNNNNNNNNNNNNNNNNNNNNNNNNNNNNNNNNUAAUGCCCCUGCUACAUUCUGCAAUUUGAUGAAUGAUGUUCUGUUUGAUUACUUAGAUGCAUUUGUGGUAGUGUAUCUAGAUGAUAUUGUGGUUUACAGUAAGACUCUAACAGAACAUGAGAAACACUUGAGAUUGGUGUUUCAGAGAUUGAGGGAGAACAUGCUUUAUGUAAAGCCAAAGAAAUGUGAGUUUGCUCAGGAGGAUAUCACAUUUCUAGGACACAAGAUCAGUGCAGGUCUGAUCAAGAUGGAUAAAGGCAAGGUGCAGGCUAUUAUGGAGUGGCCAGUCCUUAGCAAAGUGACUGAGUUGCGGUCCUUCCUUGGCUUGGCCAAUUACUACAGAAGGUUCAUUAAGGGGCAUUCAAAGAGGGUGUCUCCCCUUACUGACCUAUUGAAGAAGGACAACCAGUGGAGUGGAGCAUGUAGUGUCAGAUGGCCUUUGAAGGCUUGAAGGAAGCCAUCUCCACUGAGCUUGUGCUACGUUUGCCAGACUUAGACUUACCCUUUGAAGUCCAGACAAAUGCCUCAAAUAGAGCUUUGGGUGGAGUCUUGGUGCAAGAAGGGCACCCUAUGGCAUUUGAAAGUAGGAAGUUGAAUAAUGUUGAGCAGAGGUACUCCACUCAUGAGAAGGGGAUGAUAAUUGUGGUUCACUGCCUGCAGCAGUGGAGACACUACUUAUUGGGAAGCAUUUUUACAGUGGUCACUGAUAAUGUGGCCAACACCUUCUUCAAAACUCAAAAGAAGCUGAGUCCCAGACAAACACGAUGGUAGGAGUUCCUGGCCAACUUCAAAUUUGAAUGGCUGCAUCGACCAGGAAGACAUAACACUGUGGCUGAUGGCUUCAGUAGGAAAGAGGUGAUUGCCUACAUCAUGGCCCUCUCAGAAGUCAUCUUUGACUUCAAUAAGAAAAUCAAGCAAGUUGCAGAGUAGGAUGCUGCAUAUGGCAGGUUGAAGCGGCAAGUUAAGGAGGGUGUGAUAAGGAGGUAUUGGCUAGAGGGAGACCUCCUUGUGGCAAAAAGAGGAAGAUGGUAUGUUCCUGCAGGCGGCCUGAGAAAUGAAUUAUUGCAGAAAACUCAUGACGCAAAGUGGGCAGGUCAUUCCGGUGAAGAGAAGACUCUGGCACUGCUAGCCAUAUCCUACUAUUGACCUAAGAUGGGUGAGGAUGUCCAGGCAUAUGUGAAAUCCUAUCUGGUUUGUCAGAUGGACAAGACCAAGAUGAAGAAGGUUGUAGGGUUGCUACAACCCCUCUCCAUUCCAGAGAAACCUUAGGAGAGCAUUUCCAUGGAUUUCAUCACUGGAUUUCCAAAGGUUUGUGACUUUAAAUCUAUCUUUGUUGUUGUAGAUAGAUUCUUUAAGUAUGUUGUGUUUAUACCUGCCUCUGAUGCUUGCUCUACGGAGGAAGCGACUAAGUUGUUUUUCAGUAAUGUUGUCAAGCACUUUGGGUUGCCUAGGGACAUAGUCAAUGAUCGAGAUGCACGGUUCAUAGGCCGAUUUUGGGUUGAGUUGUUCAAACUCUUGGGUUCAUAGUUGAAGUUUUCUACAGCCAACUACCCUCAUACUGUCGGUACUCGCACGGAUUCUACCAUUUCCCGGUAUUCGCCGGGAUUUUACGAUUUUUCGUUAUUCGCUCGGAUUCUACCAUUUUCAUUUAGUCACACUGAUUCAACCCUUUUCCGGUACUCGCCCGAACAGUUUUUCGGUACUCGCACGGAUUCUACCAUUUCCCGGUAUUCGUUGGGAUUUUACGAUUUUUCGGUAUUCGCCCGGAUUCUACCAUUUUCAUUCAGUCACACUGAUUCAACCCUUUUCCGAUACUCGCCCGGAGAGUUUUUCGGUAUUCGCACGGAUUCUACCAUUUCCCGGUAUUCGCCGGGAUUUUACGAUUUUUCGGUAUUCGCUCGGAUUCUACCAUUGUCAUUUAGUCACACUGAUUGAACCCUUAUCCGGUACUCGCCUGGAGAGUUUUUCGAUACUCGCACGGAUUCUACCAUUUCCCAGUAUUCGGUUGGAUUUUACGAUUUUUCGGUAUUCGCUCGGAUUCUACCAUUUUCAUUUAGUCACACUGAUUCAACCCUUUUUCGGUACUCGCCCGAACAGUUUUUCAGUAGUCGCACGGAUUCUACCAUUUCCUGGUAUUCGUUGGGAUUUUACGAUUUUUCGGUAUUCGCUCGGAUUCUACCAUUGUCAUUUAGUCACACUGAUUGAACCCUUAUCCGGUACUCGCCUGAAGAGUUUUUCGAUACUCGCACGGAUUCUACCAUUUCCCGGUAUUCGGUUGGAUUUUACNNNNNNNNNNNNNNNNNNNNNNNNNNNNNNNNNNNNNNNNNNNNNNNNNNNNNNNNNNNNNNNNNNNNNNNNNNNNNNNNNNNNNNNNNNNNNNNNNNNNCAUGACGCAAAGUGGGCAGGUCAUUCCGGUGAAGAGAAGACUCUGGCACUGCUAGCCAUAUCCUACUAUUGACCUAAGAUGGGUGAGGAUGUCCAGGCAUAUGUGAAAUCCUAUCUGGUUUGUCAGAUGGACAAGACCAAGAUGAAGAAGGUUGUAGGGUUGCUACAACCCCUCUCCAUUCCAGAGAAACCUUAGGAGAGCAUUUCCAUGGAUUUCAUCACUGGAUUUCCAAAGGUUUGUGACUUUAAAUCUAUCUUUGUUGUUGUAGAUAGAUUCUUUAAGUAUGUUGUGUUUAUACCUGCCUCUGAUGCUUGCUCUACGGAGGAAGCGACUAAGUUGUUUUUCAGUAAUGUUGUCAAGCACUUUGGGUUGCCUAGGGACAUAGUCAAUGAUCGAGAUGCACGGUUCAUAGGCCGAUUUUGGGUUGAGUUGUUCAAACUCUUGGGUUCAUAGUUGAAGUUUUCUACAGCCAACUACCCUCAUACUGAUGGGCAGACUGAGAGAAUCAACGCCUUGCUGGAAGAAUACCUCAAGCAUUAUGUGACAGCAAUACAAAAGAAUUGGGUGGAUUUGUUAGAUACUGCCUAGUUGUGUUAUAAUCUGCAGAGGAGCUCAACAACAAGGAUGAGUCCCUUUGAGCUGGCUAUUGGGGUACAGCCACAGAUGCCUUUGGAGGUAGCUAAGCAAAAAGCAGAAGGAGGUAGUCCUGCAGCUUACAAGAUGGCUCAAUCCCGGCAUGAGAUGUUUGAUGAAGCCCGGGACAGUCUAGAGAAGGCAGUUAGAUGAAUGAAGAAGUAUGCGGAUCAUGACCGCAAAUCCUUGGAAUUUUAGGUUGGGGACAAGGUCCUCUUGAAAUUGACUCAUAAGAUAUGGAAGAAAAUCAGUAGCAAGACAAGGCAGAGGAGUCUAAUUCCUAAGUAUGAUGGACCAUUCGAGGUGAUAAAACGAGUUGGGCAGAUGACCUACAUGUUGAAGCUGCCUGAGAGGCUCAAGCUUCACCUAACUUUCCAUGUUAGCUUUCUAAAUCUUUACCAUGAGGAUCUGGAUGUAGAGAGAGUGCAAAUAAAGCGGGCCCUUCUCUUGGUCAUGAAGCAGUUUGAUCGAGAGAUAGAGAAAAUCUUAAAUCAUAGGACCAUGGGACAUAGCAGAAAGAACCGACGAACUGAUUUCUUGGUUUAGUGGAAGUGGACUUCAAAAGUAGAAGCUACAUGGGAGAGGAAUGUUACCUUAUGGCAAUUUGAGACGGCGGUCCAAACAUAUUGGUAGACUAAGUCGACGAGGGUGUCAACUUCAAUAGGCGGGGGUGGGUUUGUCAGCCCCUUAACCACUUGACUCUACCAUGGAGGAAAAGGCCUCAUGGGUAAACCUUGCACCCAUGAGAGCCUAGACGGAGAAAGCAAGGAAGACUUAGAGGUUUGGUGGUUCAAACUCCAAGAGCUAAGUGAGAAGGCCAUGUGUGAGCUAGACACGCACCGUGGACGAGCCUGACGCACACCGUGCGUGCAUCGCGAGCGAGUCAAACAAGCACCGCGUGCGCAUUAGAUGGGCACCGCGUGCACACUAGAUGGGCAUCGCGCGCGCACCAAUCUUAGGUAGUGCAGAUGAAGGCUGAAGGCUACUUUUGGAAUUUAAUUUAUAUUUAUUUAAUAUUCCAUUAUGUCUCAUCAGGCAUAUUAAUGUCUCCUCCAGAAACAAUGAAAACGACUUGUAUUACUCUUUAGGGGGGGGGGGGGGGGGGGGGGGGGGGGGGGGAGGAGGUAAGCAACUCAAAAAGGGAAGCACCAAGGGAAAGCCUUGACCGCACCAAGAGGGCACCAUGACACGACCUUGGGCGUGCCUAGGACACACGGAUAGGACUCGAGCACGCACACAUGGGCUCCACGACAUGUGUGGUGUGCACCACGUGGCCACAACGGCACGGGGCCUGGUGCGGCCUACCUCCUCCUCGUGUAGGCAUGAGGACGCCUAAACCUUGUGCAGUGAGCCAGUUGAGGAAGUCAUGGGCGCAAUACCAUGGCUUGAUGGGGCAUUAAACAACAAUUGACUAGCACCCAUGAUGCCUACGUACAGCACAAGGGCGCAAUGCCCUGUGCACUAAGAGGGAUCAGUCAUGAACGCAAUGUCAUGGCUCGUUGCUAUGAAGUUGGACCUCACAUUGGAAGCAAGCAACAUGCCCAAGCCAUGGGCACCUAAACAUGACAUGGGCUCACAUAUCAGUGUGGGGAAGACACACUGAUGCACCAGACACUUGGUCAGCUGGUUGGUGCACGUUGCCUAGUUCUGAAGGCCUUGAUCAAAGACACGCUGGUGGGCACCAGGUCAUAAGAGGCACCUUGCGGGAAAGGAGGCAACUUGUUAAGGGGACUCUUCAGCAGCUUGGUGAGAAAGGCUUGAGGAGAUGGCAAUGCAACAAGCUAGUGGCAGCUAGUUGGGAUAGCAAGUGAUCAAGUCAAGCAGCCAAUUGACUUGCAGUUGGCUGAGGUGUUGAUGGCUGGUGCAAGUGGGUGGUUCACGAGCAGGCCACUAUCUGGGUGGUGGGUGGUUAUGCAGGACAGUUAUGGGCGCAUUUGGCCAAUUGCAUAACCACUAGAUUGGCUUCAACUUUUAAAUUUGGUAAUUCAAAAAUGUAACUGCAGAAUGAGUCUUUUAAAAGGGCUCCUGCAUCCUUGAAAUAGAGAGUGAGAGAUUGGGAUAGGGUUCUCUUAAUGCUUGGGGUGUGAAGUAUUGUACUAUGACUCAGGGGAAACAAUUUUGUCUUGUAGAGUGAAUUAAUACAAGUUGGGAAAGGUUUCCUGUAAAUCGUUGGUGUCCCUGUUACUGUGCUUUUACUUUGCUUUUACUCUAUUUUUGAAAAGGCUGGGAAGGAAGGUUGGCUAAGGAAGGGUCCUUAGCACCGCACACUCGUGAAAAAUUUAGUGUGAUCUUCAGGGGGGUGUAACAGUGAGUAUAGUGUCGGGUUUGAGCAUCUCCAAGCAUUUCAAUAUGGUUCAAAUGGCUCUCAAACAUCCAGAAAUUCCCAACAGUAUGAAAAAUGGCUCUCAUGGUGCUCUCCCAGAAACACCUCCACCCAAGAUGGCCAACCUCAAACGUAAUGCCCAACACUCUAAAAUAUACCAAAAGCAGAGGAGAAAGUAAACAAAAGCAAAGCAUGCACAAACGUAAAUGAUACCGUUAAACCUAGCUCCAUUUCAUAAAGAUCAAUGGGCUGGAUAUAGGCGGAACCAAAAGAAAGCAAGAACGUGAUCUUCAAAACCUUAUUCAAGCAUCAAGAUGAACCCAAAAUUGGCGGGAAAUGAAAUAGAACAAACCGAAAUGGGAAAUGCAAAGCAUGCUAAAAUCAUACCUGACCAAAACGACAGGCUUUUCCUCUGCUCAAACUCGGAAUGUCCCUUUCUCCUAUCUUUCUUAGCUAGCUCUGCUACCCUUCCUCCAUGUCUCCUAUCAGCUGGGUUUUUCUUAUUUUCUCAGCCCGCUUCAUAACCACCAGAAAAACGAAAAAAAAUCUCUUCUUACCUCCUUCCAGCUUACUUCUCCUCCAAGCUAUAUCCAUAUCCCAUCUCAUUUGGCAACCCAAUAGCUCACCCAUCAGUCCUCUUUGGCUGCCCCAAAAACAGCUCACUUCUAAGGUAGUCAGAAAAAGAAAAAAAGAAGAAAGAAGGAAAAAAAAAAUGCUUCCAUCCGAGGGGGUCUACACAUAUACAUUUUGUUCUAAUUUUCUAAUAGUUGUGCACAGUUGAAGGGAAAACAAUUUGAUUUUCUAAUUAAUAUUACUUUUAUAAAUACUUUAAUUACUUUUAUAAAAUUGAUUCAUAAUGAUUUUAUUAUUUCUUUGGAACUCAUAAAAUAAAUCUAAUUACGACAGAAAAAGAAAAAGAGAAAAGUGAGUUUUGAUCACUAAUUUGAAAAAUACAAAAAUAAAAAACUUCAGCUUUUAUAAAUCAUUUGUAUCUUCAUUUAUUUAAAAUUAUUUUAAAAUACAUGCACUUUUUUAUAACUCAAAUAAUUAUUUCCUAAAAUGACCUUAUUAUUUAUGAUGUUAAUAAUAUCAUUUUUUUUUAACCAUGAGAACCUAUUUGAGAUUAAUAAAAUGAGAAAUUUUAAAAAUUUUAAAUACAAUUAAAACUAAAAAAACUUUAAAGUUAAAAAUAUAAAAAUAAAAUAUUAUAUUUUUUUAUUAUAUUUUUGGUUUUUAAUUGUAUUUAAUUUUUAUGUAUUUUAGUUUUAAUUAUAUUUUUAAAUUUUAUAAAUUUCUUAUGUUAUCCUUAAUUGAUGUCAACUAAUAAAAUUUAUAUUCAAUUUUAUUUAUUUUUUUUAAAUGAGAAGAUGUGGGGGUUUAUCUAAUACAAAACAUAAAAUCAUAUUAACUAGGGGAUUAACAAGAUUUUAUUUAUUACUUGAUGAUGUUGGAAAAUUUUUCCACGAUGAUUUGUAUCUUAUGUUAUAUAAUAAAAUUUUAUAAUAUAUUUAUUUAUAAAAUAUUUUUAUCAAAUUAAAAUAAUAAAUUUGGAUAAAUUCAUUUAAUAUUAUCAAAUAAAAAUGUAUUUUAGGAAAUAAUUAUUUAACUUAUGAAAAAGUGUAUAUAUUUUAAAAAAAAUUAAAUGGAUAAAGAUAAAAUUGAUUUAUAAAAUUUAAUUUUUUUUUUCUAUAUUUUUUCAAAUUAGGUUAAAACCCACUUUUUCUCAAAAAAAUAAUAGACCAAAUCUAUAAUUAUCAAUUACAAACCUACAAUUAUCAAUUAUGACUUUAUUGUUUAAUUUAUAUUCUUUAACGAAUUUUUAAAAUUUUUAAGAAUAAUUUGUAAUUCAAAAAAUUGGUCCAUUUAAUUACAAAUUAAAUAAAAAAUUCCAUAAUAUGUUGUUAUCCUUGUAUGUAAUAAAAAACUCGGAUUAUUUAUAUGUUAUAAAAGUUAAAAUUUAUUUAUUUUUAAAUUAAUUUUAUAUAAAAUAUUAUUAAUUGUUAUUAUUUUUAAACAAUUAUUAUUCAUUUUUUAAAAAAAAUAAUUAUACUUUUACAAAAAUAUUAAUAUCCAUAUUUUUAUAAUAUAUAUUAAAAUAGUAUAUUUUUAUGAAAAAAAAAAUAAUUUUAUGACUUUAUUAUAAUAUUACUAUUCAUAUUUCACUAAAUUUAAUUUAUUUGUAACAACAAAAAAAACUAUUUUCAUUUUUAAUAAAACUUAAAUUAAAUCUAAUUAAUAUGGUAUAAAUAGAAUUUAUAACAUUUUUACAAAAUCAAAAUAGAAAAAAAAAAUUAAACCAAUUUAUUCAAAUAAACUUGUUUUUUCUUUUUUCUAAAUAUUUUUAAAAACAAUUUAUCUAAUACUCUUAUUUUUAUAAAAUAUUAAAAUAACAAUUUUUUUAUUUAAAAAAAAACAUGAAAAAAGCAUGGUCACAACAAACCUAAAAAUAAUUAUGAUUCUAUGUACUUUUUCAUUAAAUGUGCUAUUUUUUACCAUUCACGUGUUAUGCCUUACUGAUGUAGAUCAAAGUUACGCAUAAGAUUAAAAAUGAUUUUUGUACUGUUGCUAUUUUGACGGGUUUUUUUUUUUUCAAAUGAAACAUGCUUUUUGCCCUUUUUGCCCCCACUCUGAUUGAGGGUUUGGUUUAUUUCACUAGCACGGAGCCCUCUCCAUCUGCCAGCCUACCUGACAACUCUGAACCGCUCUUUAAGUCUUUGUUUUUCCUCUUUCAUCAAUGACACAAAUAACUCUCACAUCAGGCGUUUUAAUCUAUUACUGCCACAGGCCCACAAGCAUCAGACAAGGUAUUAAUAGAGGCUUCUCUUUGAUACACCUCAAUAACCAUCCAUGUAAGAUAUGUAUAUUAAACACUAUGAUUCAAUACAUUAUUAUAUACAAACCAGAUGAACCCAGUUACCCACAACCUAGCUUAUUAUAAUUUUUUUAUUUGAAUUAAAUUAAAUGAUUUCAUAAUAAUACUUUUUUUUAUUUUGAAAUAAUAGGUGUUGUGCAAUUUGUUUUACUUUAUUGGUAGGUUAUGAAUUAUUAUUAUUAAUAGUAAUAGUAAUAUAAUUCAAUUAAUAUUUUGUAGGAUACUCAAAAGCUUUAUAUGCACGUAACAAAAUAAAAAGACUUACGAAGACUUAAAAUUAAUGUAAUAUCUAUUCAAUUUACAUAAAUAAGUAUGAUUGUGUGAAAAAGGAGAUAAAUGAAAAAGGUAAAGAAGGUGAACAAUAAUAAAUUUGAAGGAUAUGGGAAAUAUUUGGUUAAAUUAAUAAAGAUAAAAUUGAUUCAUAAAAUUUAAGUUUUUUUUUUUAUAUUUUUUUAAAUUAGUGGGUCAAAACCCACUUUUUCUCAAAAAAUAAUAGAUCAAAACUAUAAUUAUCAAUUAUAACUUUAUUGUUUAAUUUAUAUUCUUUAACAAAUUUUUAAAAUUUUUAAGAAUAAUUUGUAAUUCAAAAAAUUGGUCCAUUUAAUUACAAAUUAAAUCAAAAUUUCCAUAAUAUGUUGUUGUCGUCGCAUGUAAUAAAAAGCUCGGAUUAUUUUAUAUGUUAUAAAAGUUAAAAUUUAUUUAUUUUUAAAUUAAAUUUAUAUAAAAUAUUAUUAAUUAUUAUUAUUUUUGAGCAAUUAUUAUUCCUUUUUAACAAAAAAUAUAUAUUUUUACAAAAAUAUUAAUAUCCAUAUUUUUAAAAUAUAUAUUAAAAUAGUAUAUGUUUUUAUGAAAAAUAUAAUUUUAUGACUUUAUUGUAAUAUUAUUAUUCAUAUUUUACUAAACACUAUUUAUGUUAAUUUAUUUGUUAUAACAAAAACUAUUUUCAUCUUUAAUAAAACUUAAAUUAAAUCUAAUUAAUAUGGUAUAAAUUGAAUUUAUAACAUUUUUACAAAAUCAAAAUAGAAAAAAAAAAUUAAAACCAAUUUAUUCAAAUAAACCUUUUUUCUUUUUUCUAAAUAUUUUUAAAAACAAUUUAUCUAACACUUAUUUUUAUAAAAUUUUAAAAAAACAAACAUGAAAAGAACAUGGUCACAACAAACCUAAAAUAAUGACGAGUCUGAACCGCUCUUUAAGUCUUUGUUUUUAUUUCACUCAGACGGAGCCCUCUCCAUUUGCCAGCCAGCCUGACAAGUCUGAACCGCUCUUUAAGUCUUUGUUUUUCCUCUUUCAUUAAUGACAAAAAUAACUCUCAUAUCAGGCGUUUUAAUCUAUUACUGCCACAAGCAUCAGACAAGGUAUUAUUAGAGGCUUCUCUUUGAUACACCUCAACAACCAUCCAUGUAAGAUAUGUAUAUUAAACACUAUGAUUCAAUACAUUAUUAUAUACAAACCAGAUGAACCCAGUUACCCACAACCUAGCUUAUUAUAAUUUUUUUUAUUUGAAUUAAAUUAAAAGAUUUCAUAAUAAUACUUUUUUUUUUUUUUUUGAAAUAAUAGGUGCUGUGCAAUUUGUUUUACUUUAUUGCUAGGUUAUGAAUUAUUAUUAUUAGUAGUAAUAGUAAUAUAAUUCAAUUAACAUUUUGUAGGAUACUCAAAAGGUUUAUAUGCGACAUAACGGAAUAAAAAGACUUACGAAGACUUAAAAUUAAUGUAAUAUCUAUUCAAUUUAUAUAGAUAAGUAUGAUUGUGUGAAAAAAGAGAUAAAUGAAAAAGGUAAAGAAGGUGAAAAAUAAUAAAUUUGAAGGAUAUGGGAAAUAUUUGGUUAAAUUUCAAACUAAUGGUAAAUAAGUAUUUUUAACCUCUAUACAGGGGGAAGUGAGUAAAAUUAUUGAAUGUAGCCAAAAAUAUAAAUAAGGUACUAGAGGCUUCUAAAUAAACGUGGAUAUGAGAAAAGGUAUAUUUAUAAAAAUUAAAUAAAAUUGUUGAAGAAACUAUUAAACUAUAAUCUAAUGCUUUACAAUCUUGUAUAAUGAGAUUAACCUAAAUUAUUAACGAAAUAUCUUAUUAUAUUUUUUAUUUAAAUUAAAUCAAAAAAAUUUGAUAAUAAUGAUUUCAUUUUUAUCUUAGGAGUAAUAGGUGUUCCUUGUGUUCUUUUGUGAUCUCUUGUGUCUAUAAUUAUAUUACUUUUUCUCACACACUCUCUUACUUGGUUAUUUGUUUGUCUUAUGUGUGCAUAUCAUAGGAUUGUUCAUUGGUGGAUGUUGUAUGGUAAUUGUAAUUUGUGCGAUUAAGGAUGAUGUUUAGUUUAGAUGAAUGUCCUUGACAAAUUUGUAAACUCCAUUUGAGAAUUUUAGGGGUUUAUGUAAUUUAUAUUUUGUCACAAGAUUGUCAAAAGGGGGAAAUUGUUAAUUAGUGCAUUAGGCUACUUAGUUUAAAUUAAAAAUUUUGUUCAAUCCAUCUUCACUUACAGACUUUUUUAGAUUAUUAUGUUUUACUAUUUAUUAAAAACUUAAGGUUAUUGCAUGAUCAAUUGGAAUAAUAUAAGUAUAGAGAUGUUCAAGAAAAGUUAAUUGGAAUCAAUUAUAGCAUGAAAUGAAUGUUAGGCUUUAAGCUAGUGAAAAAGGUUUUAAAAUUAAUUUGAAACUACUCAUGAGCCCGAGCUCAAGCAUCACUUUUAGUGUUCAAGCCAAAAUUCUAUAGGAUACUGAAUUUUUUUUUUUUGUCAUAUUUUUAGAGGUUUAUUGAAACAAAAAUUUAAAUUUCAUCUCUUGUUUAUUAUUUAAUACAAACUUUGAAAAUAAUUUAAGUAUUAGUUUUCCCACAUUCUAAACUCUUAAAAGUUCUCAUUCUUAGAUUUAUAAGAGAGAUUUGCAUCGCGAGAUGUACACUAAGGUCACAAUCAAGAUUUACAAACUAUUCGCGUUGCAUGAUUUGUUUUACUGUAAUGGUAGGUGAUGAAUUUAUUUUAGUUCACAUGUGAAAAUGAUGGGGCUAUAAAGAAAAAGAUACAAGUUAAAGUCCGACAAUUUUUUUUUAAUUGAGAUUCAUUUAUUUAUUUUUAAUUGAGAAAAAUAAAAUAUUAAUAUUAUUAGAAACUUUAUUUAUCAAUUUUUUUACUAUACAAUUUUCAUACAUCUAAUAUGUGAACUUUUUAAUAUCAUGGCAAAAGUGAAAAACAAAAAUAAAAUAUUUAAAAAAGAUUGAUCAAAUUACCAAACCAUCUUAUACUUAAAAAUAAGGCACUUAAAAAGACAAAUGACUCUUAGAAAGAGAAUUUGUAUUUUCAUCAAUUUAAGUUCUUUAUAUAUCUAUUUUAUUUGCACACUUACCUAAUUAUUUACAAUAUACUUCAAAUAAAUUUUAUUAUAUACCUUCUUUCACCUUCUUUCCUUGUUUUUUUUUUCUUUGGCAAAAAUAUUCUUCUCUCCAACUUUUUUGUUAUAAAAACAAAAUAAUAUUUGAGAUUAGUGUAAAGCUGAUUGUAAUAUUUUAAAUGUAUUUUUUAAUUGAAGUACUCAAUUAUAUUAGGUUUAUUUCAUAUAAAUAUAUUUUGAGUUUAUUAUUUAUAUAAUUUUUUUAUUAAUAUUUGUUAGAAAAAUAAUUAAUACUUAUUAAAGUUUUUUAAAGGCAACACUUACUAUUUUUUUUUUAAGAAAUACCGACCCUAAACUAAAAAGGGUAUAAUUGAAAUUCAUAAGGGAUCAAAAUUUCAAUUACAAAUUUGAUGACCGUUUUGAAUACUUGUCAACUAAUUUUAACUAUUUUGGAUAAUUUUUCCAUCGCCAAAUUGAAAGAAAGGCAAAUAAUUACAGAGAUUCGAAUGGAUCUCUAUUUGAAAUGCCCGCUUGCCCGCCCUUCAUUUAAGGACCUUUGGUUGGUUUUUCUAUGGGUGACGGGGGAAGAGAGAAACAAGAAACCAAAGGAGGAGGGUAGCUCAUUUUGGGUCUUGCCAGUUUUUGGAGAAGGAUAGCUUACUCGAAGCCGCUUCAAGCAAUACUACUUUGGCGGACCUUUUCAGGUAUGGCAGCUGUAAGCUUCUUUUUAUUUUUUAUUUUUUAUUUAUUUGCUCCAUUUUCUGCUGAUUUUCUGAUCGAUGUGGAAAUCAAGGCUUAAAUGAUUGUUUUGCUGAAUCUGAAUUUGUUUUCAUACUAAACUCUGUUUUGAUUUUAUACUGAUCCCUUUUAUUUUUCCUGUAAAUAACUACCGUAUGGAUUGUUCUUGAGUUGGAUACUUGAUAAUCAUGCCACUGCUCUAUGCUUAUCCCACUUACGUUCAAUCCCAUGGAUAACACAAUGAAAUGUAAGAUAUGGUAUAUUUAUCAAAAUCAACAAUGAGUGCCCCUAGCAUCAGACACGGUAUUAAUAGAGGCUUCUAUUUGAUAUACCUAUCCAUCCAUGUAAGAUAUGGUAUAUUUAUCAAAAUCAAAUAAAAUUCUGUGUGAAACUAUUAAACACUAUGAUUUAAUACAUUAUAGUUAUGUACAAGCCAGAUCAGCCCAGUCACCCACCACGUAGCUUAUCUUUUUUAAUUUGAAUUAAAUUAAACUACUAAAUGCAAUAUAUUUUGAGAUAUUUCUAAAAUCUGUUUGAGAGUAUUAGAGGUUUGUGUAAUAUAUUUAGUAACAAAACUUCCAAAUGAGGGUUAUUUAGUUUAAAUUGAUAAUUAUGUUCUGUUUAGGACUUUUUUAGAUUAUUAUACCUUACUUUUUAUUGAAGAUUUAAAGUUGUUGUAUAAUCAUGAAAUGGAUGUUAAGCUUUACGGAAAAUUGAUUUUAAACUAUGUAGGAGCCAACGUUCAAGCAGUACCCCCGAUGCUCAAACCAGAGUUUUAUAAAUUCUGAAAAUUUUCUUGUUCGACAUUUAUUGAGAGUGUUUUCUUUUUAAAAAAUUUUAGAUUUCAUUCUCUAGUUUUCACUCUUGAAUGCAAACUUUGAAAGAAAAAUCUAGGUAUUGGUUUUCCCACUUACCAAACUUUUAGAAGUUUGUUUUUUGAUUCCUAGGUUUGUGAGAGUGAUUUGUAUCCCCUUUGAUAUUGAGGUUGUCCAAUGGGUGCACAUGUGGUGAUAUGUGAUGAAAAAUUAGUAUAAGUAUCAAGAGAGUAAGAUUUAUGAAUAACUUUUAUCAUGUGAAUAUGUAUACCAGUUGUUUUAUAAUGAAUUUGUGUUUUGUGAUUUCUGGUAGUUUUUCCAUUUGAAUAUUCUUGUUGAUAACUGUAGGAUGAUUUUCAGGUAAACAUAAUUAUAUCUCCUGUUAUUGACCCUUUUUUACAUUCCUCAAUUAUUAGAGAGGAAUUAAAAACAAAUAUUUUGGGCUAAAGCGAAAUAAAUGCUCUAAAAAAUAUUAGUGUUGCACAAUUUAUUUUACUAUAAUGGUAGGUGAUUAAUUUGACAAAUAUAAUAUAGGAAAGCAAUGUCACAUCCCAUUCAAAUUUUGAAAAAGGCCUAAAGUAAAUUAUAGAAAUUACAUGCUGAAAUACAAGAUUUAUGGAUUGAAGUUUCUACAGAGAUAUGUGGGGUAGCACUCUGUCUAGAUAUCUCAUUCUCGUACUAACAAUGACUGUAGAGAUCGAGAUGGACCAUUUCGUGGUGCCGCAGGAAGUAGUUGCUGAUCAGGUUGUAAAUCCUGCGGAUGGCGGUAGGCAUAUUAGAACCUUGGCCAACUUAAAAUCCGAAAUUUGUCGAACACGAGACGACACUCCAUCAGAAAAAAAUGCAAAGCUAGAAUGUCCCAAGGUUCCAAAGUCGUUGUUGCCAUCAGAUGCCAUGGGUUCUGAGUCUGACGGCCACCGCAAUGAGCCAAAAAUCAUGUCUUUGGGUCCUUACCACCAUGGCAAUCCCAAGCUCGCGCGUGGAGAAAUAAUCAAGCUUAAUUUGGCAGAACAUGCCUUUUUAUUAUUUUCGAUGUCGGAAUCAAUCUCAAUAGAGGAGGUCGAUGAAUUGUACGGCGAAAUUAGCGGUCAAGUCCAAUCGCUGAGGAGCUGUUAUGAUGCGAAGUCGACGGAGAAUUAUUCGGAUGAAGAAUUCAGUGUGAUGAUGAUGGUGGACGGGUGUGCUUUACUGUAUUAUAUGUUUCAUGCUUGCUAUGGUGAUGAACAUGACCAAGAAAAUUCCGGUAUCAGAUAUCAGGAUCUAAGGCAUCUGCAGCGGGACGCGUUGCUGCUGGAGAACCAACUUCCCUAUAAAUUACUCCUGGAACUGGGCGAAAAGGUUCCAGGAUAUGACACUAGUGAGUGGAUGGCACUAUGCUUGGAAUUCGUUGGAGUGAUUGGGGAGGAGGAGGAGGAGGAGGCGUACUCAUUCCCGCAAAAAAUGAGGAAAUUUUGCUCCGGCCCGUUCGGCCAAAUUAUUGGCCGGAGUCUGAUGAAGAGUCGGUUAUAAACCUUAAGCCUCUUCAUCUCCUCGAUCUGUACUUAAAUAAUUGGCUAGGAGCCAAACGUCCUAGCCAAAAAAAAAGCGGCGGUGGGGAAUCAGUUAGAUAUGUGAAGGAGAAGGUUAUGGCAUCAUUUAGAAAUGUGAAGGAGCUUAUGGCCGCUGGAAUCCGCAUCAAGCCUAGCCCUACGCGUUACUUGAGGGACAUUUCUUUCACUUCAAAUGUCAUCACUGGAUGCCUCAGACUUCCUAUCAUCACUAUUGAUAACUCAACCAAGGAUUUGUUCUUUAACUUGAUAGCCUGGGAAAGGUGCUCAAGUCGUCGCCAUGACAGUCAUGACUUCAUCUCUUACCUUUGCUUCCUUGAUUCCCUCAUUGAUCAUGCUGAUGACGUUAAGGAGCUGCAGUCAGCCGGGGUACUCCAAAACAAUCUAGGCACGCAUGAACAAGUGGCUGAAUUUUUCAACACUCUGUCCGCCAAGUUUGAAUCAAACUUUCAUGCUUACAGAGAUGUGAGAGUCAAAAUUCGGAAGCACCUUAAAAGUCACCGUAACAGCAAACUGAAAAGGUGGAUGACACAAUGCCUGGACACCUACUUCGGUAGCCCCUGGACUAUCAAAGCUUGGGUUGGUGCUGCUUUGGUCCUUUUCUUUACUGCCGUCCAGACUUAUUUCACAGCCUUCUCUCAUUGAUGCAUUCAUGGCCUGCUUUCUCGCUAUCUAUUGAGUGCUUCUGCAUUUUACCUAGCCUAAAUUCAUGGACUCCAUAUAACCCUUUGAUGUGCAAAGUAAAUUAGGCAAAGAGUCAUUGGUCCCGUUUCUUUGCCAUUUCAGCCUAUUUUCUACCGUCCUUUCCGGGUUUAAAACAAGUAAAAAAAUAAAUGUAUGCUGUGAUCUUAUUUUGGUGUAUUUUGUGCUUAUGUACGCAUAAGUAAUAUUAUGUUUGAUUUAAGUAACUAAAAAUAGACAUGGGUGGACUGUUUUCUUUUUAUGUUUGGAUGCCUAUUAAUGGAUUAUAUUAGGUUGGCAAUUUUAUUUUAUUGAUGUUGUACUCCAUGUAACUUAUUUCCUCGGAUCUUAAUGGUUGGGAUCGGGCAAGUGUUUGAAGAAGUAAGAUAAAGAAAUGAAAACUUCAGAAAAGAAAAAAAAAAAAAGAACCGAAACAAAACAAUGUGAAAAAUGGAGAAAAACCAGACAGGAAUGCAGGAAAUUUUAAUAGAUGAAAGUCAUUUAUUCAUUUUUAAUUGAGAAAAAUAAAAUAUUAAUAUUUUUAUUAGAAAUUUAUUUAUCAAUUCUCUAUUAUAAAAUUUUCUUGGAUUUCAUGGAAAAUAUAUUAAAGAAAUUGACAUUAGCUGCCGGGAACUUAUCUAAAAUUCCUUUUUUUUUUGUGACAAAGAAGCUUCUGAGGAAAGGAUUUUUUUCAAAAGAAAAAUAAAGGAGGGAAGAAGGUAGGUGGUAUGGAAUAGAAGAAUGGAGAAUGGUAUGAAUGUAUUGAUACGAUUUUUAUCUUCUUGGUUGAUUGUGUAAAUAAGAUGGCUGCGUCACAGAAUUUCACGAGUAAGGGAGUAGUAUUUUUUGGAGAAGAAGAGUUUAGUAAUUUAAUUAUUUUUUAUUUAAAUAUUUUAUUUUCUUUCCAGUUUUAAAGAUGAUAUUGGAAAGUUUGACUCGGUAAUAUUAGGUUUAUAUUUGUUCAGAAUAUGUUUAGGGUUUACAACUCAUAAUUUUUGGCAAACAUUUGUCACAACAAUAAUUAGGAAACUUUUAAGAUGUAUUUAGAAGUGAAAAGUGUUUUAAAAAGUGGAAAAAUCUCCAAUAAAAGCAAGAUUGUGUUAUCUAGCUUGAUUUUUUUGUUCUUUGCUUUUCUCUGCUUUUGUUGCAGCUCUUCUGACCAAAAUACUAAUAGUUUCUAUUAAGCAAAAUAAUAAAACAGACACAAGAUGUAGAAUGACAGCACAUGAUAAGAAUCCAUUUUCAUUAAUAUUUAUAUAAAUAAAAAAUUAAUCAAAGAUUAAUAAUAUUUUAUUCUCCUAUUUUAGAAAAUAAUAUUUAUUUUAGAUAAAUCAAGAGCUAUUAAAAAUAUUUUAUUCUCUUAAUUUAGGAAAUGACAUUUGUUUCCUUAAUUUUAAGAUAUUUAUUCUUUCAUUCUUUCUAUAAUUCACAAUGUAUCGUUGUAUAAUUUUUUAAAAAGAAACAAUAAAAAAAUCGUUUUCAUUAGGAAGAAGCUCAAACUUGAGUCCUCUCCAAGAGUGGUCAAAUGCCAGAAAAGGAGUGGUUGAAUAAUAUAGUCAUGAUCAAAAUGGUUGAGAAGACGCAUAUUUCAAAUUGAGGGGUAGAGGCUUCACCCUUUCUAUGUGUUACAAUUCUUACAAAAAAAAUUCUUUUAUGUUUUUAUCGAAUCUCUAUCAAAAAAUGAUGUCUUCACCAUGUUUAAGAGUAAUCAAAUAUUAAUAAUAUUUUAUUUUCCUAAUUUAAGAAAUAAUAUUUAUUUUAAAUAAAUCAAGAGCAAUCAAAUAUUAAUAAUAUUGGGUUAAAUACACUUUACCUUCUCAACCAAUGGUAGUUCUUUUUUUCCCGCACUGUUUUGCUUCAUUUUUGUCUUUGAUAGCUAAGAAAAUUUCUAGACAAAGAAUAAAUAUUAAGUGAUGAGGUGUUUAUAUCGGUUAGGGUUUUCUUUUGAUAGUUGAAAAAAUUUUGGGAAAAAGUUUAAAUUUUAGGUGUUUAGGGUUAAGGUUUUCUUUCCAUAGUUGAGAAAUUUUAUGAAAAAAAACAGAUUUAGGUGUUUAGGUUUCCUUUUCAUAGGUGUUUAUUUAUAGUCAAUUUAGCUUUCUUAUGACAUUUUUUUUUUGUUUCUUUUCAUCAACAUUGCAUCUAUAUAUUUAUCUAAUAUGAAUUUUAUAUUAUAUGUUUGCAAAUAAACCACCUAACUAUUUUACCAUCAAUUAUGAAGGGCGAUUUAGGGGUGAUAUGAGACAUGUAUUUAAGAAUAGUGAUUAUUUGGGUGGAAAAGUGGAUUAUGUUGAUAAUUGUGACAAUAAUGUAAUGUUUUUGAUUGAGUUGGAUCAUAUAUUGUUUUUAUUAAGAUAUAAAUAUUGCAUUGAAUAUUUCUAUGCUAAUAAGAAAGUGAGAAAAUAAAAGCUAAACCUUAAUAGAAAAAACACCCAAGGGGGAGGGAGGUGAAUUGGGGUUUAAAUUUUUUGUUUUUAAGCACAAUGAAUUCAUGUAAAGGAAUCACAAAUAUAAAGAAAUAAGGAUAAAAAAAACUUAGAUUUUAUAGUGGUUCGGCACCCUUUACUUAUGUCAACUCUCCUCAAGUUCCUAAUCGAGUGAAGGUUCCAUUAUACUUGAAGCUUCAACCAAGCGUCCAACCUUUCAGACCUAGAUUUUGGCUCUAAUGAGUUAUUACACAAUUCGUUCAAAUUUCUACUCACUUGAAGCUUCUAACACUCAAAUAAGAAGUUUAAAUCUGUCAACUAAGCUCAAUAAGAGAUCAAAUACAACUAAAAUACUAGGAUAAAUAACAAUGGUGCACUAAAAGAAUAUGCAACCGAGGAUUUUAAUGCAUCAAGGAGAGAAUGAGAGCUUUUGAAUCAAGAACUGGUAAUUAAACAAAUAAAUGUAGGUGUUCUUAUCUUCGUUAAUGAAAGAAAGCUCCCAAUUUAUAGGUUUCUAGCCUUGGGAGCCAAAAUAUCAAAAAAUAGCCUCGACUGGUCAAGCUAUAGGUCGAGCGGUUGACUAGCCAUUGGGCAAUUAAUGCAUGACCGGUGACUAAUAGGCCUCAACUAGACCUUGAUCGGGCCAUGACUGGGAAGGCAUACCCCUCGAUUAGGAAUGCAACACUACUAGAAGAGAGAGAAGAUUUUUUACAUCUCUCGAUCGAUCCUCGACCGGGAAGACAUAAACGGUCGAUCGGUACUUUAACCGAUUGAUCAGUGCCUUGACCAGUUUACCUUUUUUGGCCUAAAAAUCUGUCAUUUUUUUUUGUUGUUUUUGCUUUUAACACCUAGGUAAGGUCUCUAGUCACCGAGUAUGUCAAUUUUCAAACAAUUUGCUUAAGGUUCAUUUGAUAAAACUCGGAUUUUAAUCAAAUGUGUCUUUAAUGCACUUAGGAUAUGGAAAUCCUAAGUGUACCCAUGUAUUCAACUUACAAACGGUUCCUAAGAUUAAAAUAUCUUCUUUGUGCCUUGAUCUUGAAUCUAUUGGAUCCUUUGAUGAAUUUCUCGGAUCUUGAUCUUGAAUCUUGAAUCUAAAUAGACAGGACUAAGGUGGUGUUUGUUUUUUUUACUUAAUUCUAAAUAGAACCUUAAUACUUAAUAGCAUUAAAUAUUAGGUUAUUUGUUUUUAUAGUAUUUUAUUUCUAUUAAGUAUUAAAAAGUAAAAAAAAAAAACCAAUAUGUUAUUUUUUUUAUUUAGAAAAAGUUACAUAUUUUGGCUUUUUUUAUUUAGUAAAAAGUUUAUAAUAAGUCAUGAAAAAAUAAAAAAACAAACAACCUAAAUUCUAAAACUAAAUUGCUUUCAGCAAAAAGCCAAAAAAACAAACACCACUUAAGCCUCUUUGUUGUCAUUUUUUUCAACCUUGGUGCCAAUCAUAUGUCCGGUAUUAAUUUACUCAUGAUGUGAUCUUGAUUCAUUGAUUACGAUAUAGUUUAUUUGUGGUAGAAUUUUGGGAAAAUUAAUAUAAAAAAUAUCUAAGAAAUGAAUUUGAUGAUCAAAUAAUCCAAGAAAAAAAGCAUCAAAUUUAUGAUAUGUAUAAUGAAAGAUGCAUUUAAGUAAAUUAAUAAGCUCGAACCCUUCCCAAAACCAAGGAGACACGCAUUAGCCUAUUUUAUGUGCUUCACUUGCUGUAUAUUAGUAGGUGUAUGAAUAGAUUAAUCUUUCUGAAGAGAAAAAAGAAGAAGAAGAAGACUUGAGUGCUCCUUUUUAAAUGUUAAAUGACCUUCCCUUUGGAUAUCAUUAUAUCAACAUGGACUAGCUGGCAGCAGCCUGUUGCCUACUCGAUUGGAAUUAUGGAGCUUGCAUGCAAUGAGCUGGUGAUUCAUAUUUCACAGGUGGGAUGUAACUUUUUUCUUUUUUUAAUAAAUGAUAAGAAUAUCUCACAUAUAAAAUAAAAAGAGAAAAUUAACCUAUACGUGGAAACUAUUCUCAAUAAUAAUUUUUUGUUUUUUAAACAUAAAAAAAUAUGAAAACUCAGUUGCCUGUAAUUAUUUCCAAAAUAGGUUGUAAUAAUACCUUUUAAUUAUUUUUGGUUAAUUUUAUUUAUUAUUUGGAGCUAUUUUUAAAUGUAAUUUUAGAAAUAUGAAAAAUGAUUGAAAUUUAUAAAAGGGUACAUAAAAGAAUAUUUUGAAAACAUACAAUAUUCAAAAUUACCAAAGAAGCUUUUAUUAUACCAUAGUAAAAUUAUUUUUGAUAAUUAAUCUCAAAAACCAUCUUUUUAUAACUAUUUUGAAAAGUAUUCUCUAACAAACCUUAUGCUUUUAGGGAGGAAUGGUAAUAUUUUAAUAAAAAUUAUAAAAUAUGAAUAUUAAUAUUUUAGUAAAGUUAUAAAUUAUAUUUUUUUUUGUUAAAAACAAAUAAAUUUUUUUAGAAAAUGAUAAUAGUUAAUAAUAUCUUAUUUAAACUGAAUUAUGAAAAUAAGUAUAAUUUAUUUUUCAAAAUAUGCAAUAAAUGAAUCAAGUUUUGAUCACGUACACAUAUUCAUUCCCUAAUUACAAGUAUUCUGAACCAGUUUAGUCCCACAAAAAUUUUAUAAUAAUUAGCAUAAUUUUUUAGUUUUAAUUUAUUUUUAAAAUAAAAGCAUGGAACUAGAUUGAAUCUUUCUUGGGAAUCCCCAGCAAUGCUGGAGGUUGUGGAGUGGCGGGAAAUCAGGGUCAAUUUCAAUCAAACGUGUAUCUCUUUGUAUGCUUAAAAUAAAAAAAAAAAUCUCGAUAAAUCAUCUCUUUCAAUUACAAAUAACUGUUAUUGAAUUAUUAUUAUUAUUAUUAUUCGUAAUAUAAUUCAAUUAACUAUUUGCUGGACACCUACAGUGUUACACCCGACUAAGGGGAAAAGAAAAAGAUCAUACAAGUUAAAGUUAAUUAAUUUGACAAAAAAAAAAAAAAAUCAAAUUUGUUUCAUCAUCUCAAGAUGUCAAGGGUGAAGACUACUACUAUGCGCCAAAACUCAUUUCUUUGGGUCCUUACCACCAUGGCAAGCCCACCUCAAGGAUGGAGAAACGCUCAAGCUUAAAUUGGCAGAAGCCUACAUCCAAGAAUGUGUGCCAAGAGUGGAUGAAAUUUACCACACAAUUAGCGAAAGCAUUAGUGAG
rnacentral:lncRNA from 1 species